rnacentral:sRNA from 1 species
UACAACUUGAUUCAUUCAAGGAUGCAAAUGAGUUGUUUGGUAUUGAGGCUUCCAAAACAGGAAGGGAUAACAAAAACUCCAGCUAAAUGGUGGGAUUUUUAUUGUAGU